GGAGAAGGAAUUCCAAUCCUUUACUUCAGUAAAAGUAGUAAUACGGCACUGAAAAAUACUGUUACAAUUAAAAGCCCUGCAUUGGAAAUGU